UACUGCUCGGUUGUUCCUGGUUUAGCAAUGGCGACCUUCUACACCCGCUGUCAAUAGGAGCUCCCAAAGAUAAACAUCACUCGUGUUCAUAGGAUUUUCACAACGACUAAAGACUCAACAGGCAAAUUGGAGAAAGGUUAUUAAUUAUAUGCCAUGUGUAUAUUUGCAACUACCAAGACGUGGUUGAAACCUCUAAGAAGGAGAUCGAAGACAUCCUGAUCCGGUACCGCGGGACCUUGUUGGUGGCCGACUCCCGCCGCUCCCGGUCCGACGAGUUUGCUGGACCCGGAGCCCGCCCUCGCUACCAGAAGUCUUACUGCUAAAAAUGCUGUCUUCGCUUUUAUAUACAAUAAAAUUGAAAAUGACCUAAA